GUUGAAUGAUUCUAUUGGCGGCUCAUCAAUGCCGUCUUUGUAGUGCUGUUAGUACACACCAAACCCCCAUGAAAACAUCAUUUUACAAAAUUAGCCCCUACCCCUAAAUAUGCCGCACCUAACGUUGCACGUCAUUAAAUCUAAACCGCCAACCCAAGUAAUCUCAGCCGUCCAUUCAACAAAAAAAACUUUAUAAAAGAUAGGUCUGAGAAACCUAAUUAUUAUCGUUCAACAGCCUCUAGGGUUUCACCUUUCUUUCAUCCCAAUUCUCCUAUUCUUCAAUCUCAGAUCUCAGAUCUCAGAUCUCGUUAGCAACAUCCCCGUCCUACUUCACCCGUACCAGAUCUGUUCAGAUCCGAUGGAGAUCUACCGCCGGUGGAGGUUUUCUCCAGAUCUAAAUCUUCGUCCGUCAGAUCUACAAUUCAGAGGUGUGAUCUUCACGUUCAUCUUGGUGUUUGGAAUCAACUAUGAGAUUUUUUUUGCAGGUAUGGUUGUAGAUCGAUGAGCAGAUCGUAGAAUCUAAUUAUGCUGGUUCCACCUUGGUCACAGAAACGGAUGCGUCAUCUUCUGAUUUCUAGAAGUGCUAUGAGCUAUGGUUCUAGAUUGACCUCUUUCAGAUCCAUGUUGCAGAUAUCGGUUCUUGUAAUUAUGUAUUGGAUUAUGAUCUUUGCGGGGGGAAGUUUUAUGGAUGUAGGUUGUUUCAGGAUUACUUAACUUGAUUCGCUUAGCGAUUUGAGGAUUGAAUCCUGAUUGAUCUUGUCAUCCGACCUUUGCCAUGUCAGGUGCGCUUGCUUGGCAGGUCAACUAAUUAAUAUAAAAAGAUUUGUUGGUUUUUGGGAGAGAUCGCACGGGUUUUUUUUGCCCGGGAUCUCUCCCCUGUGUGGUGUUUGCGUUUCUGCUUUUUUUUUUCUUCUCUUUAUUGUUUUGUUUUAUGCGUUUUACGUGCACGUGAUGAAUUAGAAGGAUUUCUCGGACUCCAUUGCGAAGCACACAUCAGGUACCUAUCCCAUUUUAUUCAUAUCACUUAUCAAAUUUAAAAUAUUUAAUCAAAAUUAAUUUGAAAUCGUGAAUAUUAUCUUUUAUAUCAACCAAAGAUACUAAAGUUCUAUUACUUUUACUAUUCUUUUAUAAGGUCUACAUGUUACAGAGGUUGAGUUAUUUACAUUGAAGAGAAAUGUAUCCCAUUAGACAUAAUAUUCUCACCGGAAUAGUUAUGUACUAGUAUCAAGCAUCAACAAAUUUUCUAUUUCUCAAAUUUUUUGUUUCUAUAAUCAGUGUUACCAUCGUUUUAUUUAUCCAGAAUGUCACAUACGAUAUACAAAACUUAUUUAGUCAGUAACUGGCCGUAAAUCAAUUUUUGAUGUAAUUGUUAAAAGUCAUUUGUGUUACCUACUUCUCCUUCAUAUCUGCCCCUACUUCUACCGGAUGUAAUAUAUGCCAACGAUUGGAAGUGCUCAUUUAUCAACUAAGGAUAUGUGAAGCGGUAGCAAUUUCUAGCUCUUCAUAUCUAUGAAGAAAUAUGAAUUAAUAAUAACAAUUAUGGAUAUAAAGACACGAGAGAACCAUUAAAUAGCAUUUAAUAAUUGUUGGUGCAGUUUUGGCUUGGCAAAUGUAUCUCUACCUAAUUGGAUCCUUCAGUUGUGAUUAUAUGUAACAUAUAUCAGUUUUGAUUCGAGGAAGAAGGACAAAUAUGAGUGGAGCAUAAACAUUGAAUUUCUUGAAGCGUCAUUUGUUCAUCUGCGAGGCUUCAAUCAUAGUAAGGCUAUUUGUGUUCUAUCUAAGAAGCUUCUAUCUAACAAGCUUCAAUCAUAGCAAGGCCAUUUGUCUUCAUCUAAGAAGCUUCAAUCAUAGCAAGGGCAUUUGUUCAUCUAAGAACUUCAAUCAUAGCAAAGCCAUUUUCUCAUCUAAGAAGCUCCAAUCAUAGUAAGGUGAAGAUUGCUUUGACUCUAAUUCUUUCAAUUAAGUUAAAUGUCUUCAUUUCAGUAUAUUCAUUUUAAUUCAUUCCAUAUUUCACAUUAGACUCUUAUGUGUGAUGAAGUAAUAUCUUUUUUAAGGUUAUGUAUUUAUUUGUGAUUC